AGUGAGGGUUUGCCUAAGGUUCUAGUUGGUUGGGAAGGCUGACUUGGUUCGGUUUAAGGUUGGGAACCGAGCAAGUGCCGCACGUUUACAAGCGAGAAAAGUCUUGUGGCGUGACAAAUUGCUGUCUUUUGAAGGUAGGAGUUCGUUACAGGGAGUGCUGCUAAGGUAUUUUGUAAGUUCCUGCAUAUCAAGUUCUAAGGUAAGCGCUGUGCUAAGUUUAUAAGUCCGUCUCUGUCGAUUCAGUUGCAGUUAUUCGCCUUUCUUGCGAGCCAGAAGUUGUAGUUGUUUUCCUUUCAUUCACCCUCUCCCUGUCAUUGGCUAUCCUAAGCCUUUCUUUCGUCCUGCCAUUCUUUCUGCUAGCUAUCUAGUGGGAGAAAAAAGAGAAGCCCAUACUGUUGGAGUGCUAGGCUAAGCCCUUUCCCUAAAGAGUACUUUCGUAUGCAUAACCUGUUCUUUCCUAUGGCUAAGCCGUGGAAUCCUAUGGACGUGGAAGACUAUAGAUAAGCAGUGGAAGUUAGAUCAGUUGCUUAGGAAGGUGCCUAUAGAAGUUCCCUGCCAUGCAUUUCCUGGACUCUGAUAGCCCUGCAUAUGAUUCUAUGGCGGUCCCAGGGGAGUUCCCUGCAGCCUAUAUAUAAAGCUAUAUAGUUUCAAUGGCAGUUGCCUUCGGUGCAUUUUCAGUAAAAAGAAUAUCAAAAUCCCUAGCCAGCUUAUCUAAUCUCCCAGACUAGCCAGUUCGAGGGUUAUAGUUCCAGUCGUAAGCCCAUCCUAACUAAGCUCUUCCAUUGCUAAUGCCGUACUUGGGUUUUUAGAAGGAACAGAAGUGGAAAUUAUAGAUUGAGUUCUCUUUGCUAUUCUGUCUUUCGCCCUUCCAGUCCAUCGAUUGUUAGUUCUCUUGAGACUUCUGUUACAUCCCUUAAGUCAGUCUUAAGGGUAGAUAGCGCUAUAGGCUAACGAUAAGAUUCAAGGGCCUUCUAUUUAGUCGAUGCUUGUUUUUCCUUUGAUGGAGAAGUAGUAGUUGCUUCUCUCUUCAAGUUCAAGCGAGUUGUUGGAGUGCUUUUGUAAGAAGCCCCUCCUGUUGGC
rnacentral:misc_RNA from 1 species